GACAGAGGGUGCAACCGUUGUUCGGAAUUACUGGGCGUAAAGCGCGUGUAGGCGGCUCUGCAAGUCGGAUGUGAAAUCCCACGGCUCAACCAUGGAAGCGCAUUCGAAACUGCAGGGCUAGAGUUCUGGAGAGGAAGGUGGAAUGCUUGGUGUAGAGGUGAAAUUCGUAGAUAUCAAGCGGAACACCGGUGGCGAAGGCGGCCUUCUGGACAGUAACUGACGCUGAGACGCGAAAGCGUGGGGAGCAAACAGG
rnacentral:rRNA from 1 species